rfam:Bacteroidetes bacterium GWF2_35_48 gwf2_scaffold_7063, whole genome shotgun sequence.
CCAAUCCUACCCGACAAGGUUUAGUCAACCACCGGAAGCGAGUCUUGCGUAGUCAAUAGAGAUGUUGGCACGAAGCGUAGACAGCGACUGUUGAAGGUAUGCUAUUGAGCCUCGAAAUAAGUAAUGCUGAAGCCUUAACCGUUGUGGUAGUUGGGGCAAUAUCAAACCAGCGUAAAAGACGAGUUGGGGAGAUUCGACCGGGGUCGAAGAACA